GAAGUUUUUAUUUUAGAAGUAUUUCAAAUUAUUGUUUGACCUAAUCUCCAAAUUAUCUUUUUUUUUAUGAGAAUUGAGAUAUUUAAUAGUGCAAAACAUAAUUUUAUCUGAAUAUACAUGAAUGCACAUGUUUCCAAUGAGUAUCAGUUAUCACAAAUAGCAACAAGGAUCUUAGAGCUAUGUUAGAAAAAUAUAUAGCUCAAAUUUAACUCUGCAGUCUCACAUGCUCUCAAGAGAACACAUCUAUUCCAAAUCAGUGUCACAAACUACUAAAAACCAGGGGAGUAGGAGUGAGGAUUGUGCAGAGUGGUAAACAGAGGGGCCAGGACACAGGCGAUGAACAGAAAUACAGCUCUCAAGGAAAGCAAAAUCAGAUUAGAGCUAAGUACAAGGAAAAGCUUAUGGGUUUCAAAAAAACGACUUUUCUGCCAGUGCCAUACGAGUCUUAGAAAGAGAUGUGCGACAAGUUAACUGACUUAAAAAGGACAGAGGCUACACUUUCAGAUCAUUUCAACUACAAAUGGUAACCCUUUCCUUUGUGGUUCAGCAGUGAAAUUAGCAAAGUCCAGAAGCUCUAUGUUGGAUUUGCAAAUACAGUUUAUUUGACAGGAAUUCCACAUUAUAAACAUCAGGCACCUCCCAUCCUCCCCAUCCACUUCCCUCCCUUCUCCCCUCCCCAUCCCAGUCUGGCUGGGUGCAGACCACUACACAGAGAGUGAGCAGUGAUGUGGCCCUGCUGCUUUGGAGGAAGAUUCAAGAAGAAGGAAGAGGAAGAGGACAACAUGAAGGAAACAGAGAACUGGGCUGGAGCCAUUGGACUGGUCCCGUGUGGGCCGGGGCCGGCCAGACUCUGGAAGCCUGUGCAACGGGUAGGAUGACAAUUUGACCAUUGAGAAAGAUGACUGAAGAAAACAGAACAGUUCUUAAAACUCAACUUAUAAAUAAGUGACUGAGUUGUGCUGCAAUCCAGCAUCCAUUCCUGCAUACACUAAAAUGAGAUGAUUUUUCUCAAAACUGGUGACAGUCUUUGAAGCUCAAUUUAAUAAUAUAAAAUUAUACAAGACUAACCAGCUCUAAAAAUUUGAAGUGUAAAAACAAACAAAACCAAAUUGUCAUCUAAAAUAAAAUUUCAUUAAACUGUCUUUGCCUGAGUUAC
rnacentral:lncRNA from 1 species